GAUGGGCGUCUGUGACUGAACGUUAGACAGAAGCCUCACAAAUACACAGAGGCAUUAGAUUUGAUGUGCUCAGCAGAUGGGGAUUCUGUGAUUCUGACAGGUUUCUAAAGGAGGCUGAUCCUAAAGUGUCCUGCCAUUGCUAGACUUUGGAGUUUGGGCGUCCACUGCUCUAAAGUUCGCUCUUUAACACUGGACACAUGGGAGCCAGAGCUUAUGAAGUUAAUGUGUGAGAUUGGCAACACUGUAAUCAACCAGAUUUAUGAAGGUGCGUGUGAGG